CAUGAAAUCAUAACUUUUUUGAGUUUAAUGUAAAGAUGUGAAAACGUGAACUGUACAUUUAAAGCUGUUAGUUGUAACAGAAAGCAGAUUACAUCAAAAUAAAGCGAAAAAUGUGUAGUUGUUGUAGUAAAAUUUCAGUUAUUUCUUACCUUUGGAAGGUUUGACGCUUUACAUAAUUUUCGCGAACAAAUUCAAUGAUCUGUUUUUGCGUUCUUCCACUGUAACUGUAAUUGUACGAAUAUAUUGAAUGAAAAUUUCAUUAAUUAAUUUUCUGAAUUUUGAGGCAUACCGGAACGAACUUCCACGGGAAAGGACGCGGGUCUUACGCCUGGGUGUACUCUGAACUGUUGUGCACCGGAAGAAUCCGUGAUUUUCAACACACUUCUUCCAGAAAUUCUUGCACUCAUU